UCCGUGAUGGUGUAGCGGUAACAUCGGUCGCUCUCAAGCGCAACCUCAGGCUUAGCCUGUAUGUACUCGUGUCCCGACCAGCCCGGGGUUCGACUCCCCGUCACGGAA
rnacentral:tRNA from 1 species